rnacentral:lncRNA from 1 species
UAUUUUUUUUAAAAAAUAGUUUAUUCAAGAUGGUGGCAUCGAAAGAAUAAUUAAGCUCAAGGAGAAUGUCUCCCAAGAGCAACGAGCUAAAGAACCUGAGGAACCUAAUCAAUCAGAACCAGUCCUAACACAACCUCUUCCACCUCGUAGAUCGACUAGGGUUUCUCAUCCUCCUGAAAUGUAUUUAGGUACCAUACAAGAGAAUGUAGAGAA